rnacentral:miRNA from 1 species
GGAGGCGGAGAGGAGGAGGAGAGUCCCCCUCCCGUAGGGCUGGAUGGAGAGGAAGGGGUUAAACUUACCUCUUUCUCCAGCGCCGGGAGGGGGACUCUCCUCCUCCUCUCCUCCUCCU